rnacentral:rRNA from 1 species
GACGAAGGGGGCUAGCGUUGUUCGGAAUUACUGGGCGUAAGGCGUGUGUAGGUGGUUGUCAUAGUCAGGCGUGAAAGCCUUGAGCUCAACUCAAGAAAUGCGCUUGAUACUGGGCAGCUAGAGGACCGGAGAGGAUAGUGGAAUUCCCAGUGUAGUGGUGAAAUACGUAGAGAUUGGGAAGAACACCAGUGGCGAAGGCGGCUAUCUGGACGGUUUCUGACACUAAGACACGAAAGCGUGGGGAGCAAACAGG